ACCACAAACGAUAGACUUUCACCCUUGAAUGCCCAACAACCAUAUACCCAAAACAUUUUUUACCCUCUCAUUUUUGCUUCUUCCUUUUAUUGCUUUGCAGAUCUGAAGAAAGUCUUGGAAUUGGAUCAAUCAGAUAUCCAAGCUAGGAGAACCAUCCAACGUUUGGAGCCAUUAGUUGCUGAAAAGCGUGAAAGGAUGAAGCAAGAGAUGAUUGGUUUUAGAAGUAAAUUUAGUGAAAGGACAUGGUGAAUUCUCCAAGGUAGUGAAAACGAUGCAAGCAAAGGCCAGGCUAGUUUAAAUUGGUUCCAUCCCACCAAGUGAGUUGGGAAAACUGAAAGCUUAUCUAUUGAACACUAGAUCAGAUGGUUAGUUUUUCACAGAAUUGUAACCUAGCUGUAAUUUAGGGAAACUAUAUUUAAUAAUCAGUAAAUUCUGAAACUGGAAUCUUUAAAUUUUAUUUCUUCGCCGAGUUAAAAGGACCAUUAUUGUGUUUCA